rnacentral:tRNA from 1 species
GGGGUGCUCGUCAAACGGGAAGACAUUUGCUUUGCACGCAGAAGAUCGGGGUUCGAUUCCCCGGCACUCCA